GGAAGUUAUAUGAUAUAAUCCACAUAUAUUCGGUUCCAUAUAAAGUAAAAGUAGACCGGAAUGUUCAACCAACCCAUUGCAGCUUUAUGAUGAUCACGACGAUAUCUUUCAGACAGAAACUAAGUGGUUUGCAUAGAAACAGAUGACGGACAGGCAGGCAAUCUCGGCUGUUGAUACCAAUCAAAAAUAUUUAUUUUAAGGGGUCAGAGUUGCAGCCUCGUAUUCUUUACACAUUUUAUGUCAAGAGGAACUAGGGUAUACAAACAGUAUAAUAUCAGUAUGAAUUAAGAGCAAACCAAUACUUAAGCUCAUUGGAAAAUACAAAAAUUCUGUAAGAGCAGUUUCAAAUGUUAACCACAAGUUCGCCAAGCUCUUUGUGGCUUGUCGGCUUUAAGGUCUACUCACACAUAGAUGCACACAGACACAGACACACACACACACAUACUGCCACAUAAAUAUCCCAACAUUACCAUUACCGGUCCCAUUUCUCUCCCUUGGCUCCACGUGGUUGCUCCUGCUGACCGGCUAAAGCGAAAAUAAUGAGCCCAAUGUAGCUGGCUAAAGUGUAAGUGUGUUUGUGUGCUUGUGUAAGUGUAAGCUGGAAGCAGGCACAUUGGUAACGCGCAGCAGCAACGCUGAGAGCAGUCGAGUUCAUGUCAAGCUGUCAGUCAAGGUCGAUUUCGUUUGCUGUUUGCCGCUGCCCCUGGCCAGGUGGCAGCUAUGCGCCUUGUGCAACAUGCCAGCACAUCACCAAAGGGCUGUAGCAGUGAGUUAAGCAGGCGCACACACACGUACACAUAAACACAUACACACACACACACACACACACACACACAUGCAUCUGGCCUGGCAAGUGGCUUUUUGUCACUGUCUUCGGGCUGCCAGUGCAAUUUUUAUGCUCGUCAGUGUGUGCCCACCGAGGCAGCAGAUAAAUUGUGUAUACAUCGCAGUAUAUGUGUGCGUGCUCGUGUAUAUGUGUGUGUGCAUGUGUGUGCUUGGGAAUUUUUUCAUCAUUAUCAGUGUCCUUGUAACCGCAUCUGCUGCUGCCACAUGCCACUUAAUGCCAACGCUGCACGUUCCACUUUUGCAUGUCGUCUUCGCCUUUCGCUGCGGCCUUUUGUGGCCGCCGCUGCUGCUGCGUCGCACAAUUGCAUGCCACAGGCCAGCCACAGUGCCGCCGCCCCCAAAACACCCCCAAAUCCGAGGGCAUGGCCAUUAUAUUCAAGCAUUUUUGUGUGGCAUAAGUUGGCACUUUAGCGUCAGGAGGCAGCUGCUACCUGUUCAGUUGCUGUUUCAGUUACAGUUUCAGCUCUCGCCUGGCUCGGGCUUUCGUUUGCUUUAGCCCAGCUCAGGACGUGCCGCCAUUUUGUUGUCCUUGGAUCCGCCUCUGUUACUCCAGCCCGCUACCUUUUAUUUCUCAAUUGGCAAUAUUGGCAAUCGAUAUGUGCGCUAAUAGCUGCGUGCAAAACCAUAGCCACAUGUGUGUGUGUGUAAUGGAUGUUGCACUAUUCGAGCUGCGCCAGGCGAAGGCGUUGCACACGCGGCGUCAGCUGAAAAGAACAACUUUUACCAGCUUGCAAAUUGAAAAAUAGUUUUCCGACAUUGAACAACAAAGUUGCAAAUGACAAUGAUAAACGCAAUUAUUGAUUAGCUCGCCAUUUGUGGGCCCACCUUAAAAUUAGAACUGAGUAGACUUUAAGUAAGCUUAAAGAGGCUCAGUAAAUUCAACAAGUAGGCCGCAGGCAACUCGAAGCAUCAAUGCCAACUUAUUUUCAACUGCAACUACACUCGCAUACGCAGUAAUGAGUACACUGAUUUUUAAAUGCUGAAAGUAAAUAUUAUAUAAAAAGUAGUUCGCCAAUAGUCGUUGACAAUGUCAAGGAUAAUGAGCACAGUUGACUUUGUUUGGCUGUGUUGUGUUCUUCAUCCUUGAUUUAAUAAGUAGGUAAACAGUUGAAUGGUAACAUUUUAUAGACAAUUAGAGCAGCAUGAAAAUGCCUUUCUAGUCCAUUAUAAUUGGACUUUAAACCAAACAAAUAUGCUAAUACGCUGCGAGUGGGUCAGAACCAAAACAAAUACAUUUAGCUAUAGCUUUGGUUAAUUAAAGCCCCUCUUUAUCCAGCCACCGAAACCCGAUUUGAUUGCCUAAAGAGACCAAAUGCAAAACAAAUGAAGCCACUAAAAGCUGCCAAACCGAAAGGCCGACAAAGCACGAAAUGCAGUGCAACAACAACAGUGCUUGGCAAACGAAAACAACAACUGGAGCUGCCAUUGCAAACCAGAAAAAUUCAACCGAGAGAAGCCUUGCACAAAGUUUGUUUUGGAAAAGAGACACAACCAAGGCGACGACAGCAAUGCAAACGAAUAUAUAUAUAUAUAUAUAUAUGCAUAUAGAUAUAUAGACAGAGGGAGAGUGUCGAGGUAGUCAAGCAGGACAAUGUAGCUGAUGAGAAUACGGAUGCACACCAAGAAGAUUAUCCUGUUGCUGUCAAACAGUAACAACAACAACAGCAGCAACCACAAAGAUUUCAAGUGCAUCGCAAGGCCAUAAUCCGCAGAGCCGUAACCGUAACCGCUUUACAGGGCCACGACAGGCGGCGCAGUCCACAGAUUGAGCCACACUCACACACAUACAAACACACACACUGGAGCAGACAUCUCAGUGCUGGCUGUCCGGGCCCGAAUGCCAGGAUACGGGGCUGCCAAAACUGCCAUAACAUGGCUGAUUACCCGCUGCAGUUGCCGCCUCGCUGUUGCAAGUGCCGCAAGCCGUUGAAGUUGCCUAACCGCUGAAACGGCCCCCGGCAAAAGUUUCAUUAAAGUGGCAACUGCCACUAGUCCUACCUCACACCCCCGCGCUCUUUGAUGUAGCUCUUAGCACUCACCUGACUUGACAGCCGGCGCUUAACUUUUUGGCCUUUGUAAUUGCCCUGCACUGAAAAUUGGCAACGUUCUGUUGCAGCAGCUGCAGAUUAAAUUGUUUUCUUUUUUUUGGAGUUCACCAGUUAAGAGAAUUUUUAAAUAUGCUAUCUAAUCAACUGCUACAUAAAUAAGUACUACCUUUGCUUGGGAUCGUGGAAUCGUAGCUGAACGAAAAACAACUUAUUAACUUGUAAGUAGUUCAAAUCAGACGUUAAUUGUAUAUAUCUGCCUAAUAAUAGUAACAUUUAAUAUUGACAUCCUUAACAACAAUCAUAUAAGUGUAUGGGUCACAAAGCAGCAAUUAAAGGCCAAAUGUGGCCACCCCUUAAGCUCAAAUACAAAAUCCCUGCAGCAGUCAGGGUCCAAGAGCUUAAUGGCAUCUCAAUAGGUUGACUUUACAAACGUAUCAAUUUUUGGUCAACAACUUUUUUUAACCCCUCGAUUUUUAAUUUGCUUGAAUGCCAUUUGUAAAGGACGAAUUCAAAAAGAAAUAACCUUUCAAAUCAGACGAUAUAUACCUCAGACAUUGAAAAACAAGUAAGAGGUUCUAGACGGGAGCUCCCGACUGAUUCCUUUCGAUUACGAUUAAUCCAUUGCAAAUUUGGUUUCUCCAGCUCUGAGGGAACUCAGAACUAUGCUAAAAAAAUGCAUACUUUACAAAUGGGAAAGAUAUCGCGAUAAAUUAUAAUAUAGGAUCGUUUGAAGAACAAAUACUAUUUUCCACAUGUACAAUCAUUUAGAGAUGUAACCCAAUCGAUUUCUAUGCCAAUCUAUGUAUAUUUAAUAUUUACCCAAGAAUAACUACAACAACUACAACACAGAAAUAAAGCAUUUGAUGUAGUUGUAAAUGGAUUGUGGCCAGCAAGUAAAAUGUUGUUAUAAAAUGCGCCGGAAGCGCAACAGUCAGCAUCAAAAGUAAAACACCCACACCCAAACACCUCGCUUGCUCCGCCUUUCCCUCUCUUAGUCUCUCUCUCUCUCUCUCACAAUCUCUCUGCCUCUGUCUGUCUGUCUGUCGCAAGCAUACACAAUGCAAAGUAACCAAUUUCAAAGUUGAAUCGUUUAGUGAAAUCACUUGAGGCGAUUAAAAUCAAUCACAGACAAUCAGCGCCAGCUAACUGCAACACCAACAACAUCUUCAACUGGUGGCAAACAGAGGGAGAGCCAGUCAACUGAAGGAUCUGCUGAGCUGUUGAGCAAACGGAGGAGCCAGCUUCUAUGGACAACAUUUUUCAUCUCGCCCCUUUUGCGAUUUUAUUUAAUUUACACUCAUAGCCAAGUCGAGAGCUGUGGCAGCUCUUUCCCUCUGCUCACCUGCUGCUUCAGCUGUUGCUGCGUAGAGAAAAAUUUGAUUUUAAAUUGGUUUUGGCAUCGAUGAGCGUAAAGUUUGUUUGGCUGAAACUAACAAAGUCCAUUUUCAUAUAACAGCAAAACGAAUGAAGGCCAAGGAACUAGGUGUUGUUUGGCAUCAAAAUAGCCACAAGCGAUGUUUUCUUUUUUUUUUAUCAAUAUUAUUCUAAACUGAACAAGAAAAAAUAGCUGCGUUAGAGUUGUCGAAGAUGGAAUACCCUAAAUGAUAAAAUUGUCCGAAAAUGUUGAAUUUAUUUUGAUAUAUUAUUAGCCAUUCUCUGACUAAUAUGAUAAAUUGUUAGUGCAAUGCUGAUGAUUUUUAAUCCCAUAUGAAUCGAACUUUCCCUUAUAUGUUAAAAAACAAAAAAACACAAAAAAAGAAUCUUGUUAUCAAACAGAAUUUGUGACCAAUUGUGUAUAUGGAACCUCGGCUGCUGAUUGUAAUAGGAAAUGUAGUGUGCAUUAAAAAAUACAUGGCAAAAUUUAAAAAUUCUUUGCAGGGGUAUCCAAAUGCAAAAAAAAAAAUAUUUACAACAAAUGUGAACAUUAUUCGACAAUGCCCGACUGGAAUAUACAUCUAAAAGCCCAAUUAAAAAGCAUAAAUAGACUUUAGUCUUCAGAAGUAAACACUAAAAAGACUUCCUAUAUUAUACCCAACAUGAUCAGAGAUUAAUAAUACUUGUACUCUCGGCUGUUGUAAAUAUAACAUAACAACAAGCAGUAGCAUAAACAACUUGCAAAAGUGUCGAUAAAUAUUUGUGGAGGGCAAAUGAAAUUGGUCGGGACAAAAAAAAAAACAGAAUAAUCAUAUGAAACUAAAUGCGAAAAAAGAAA